rnacentral:rRNA from 1 species
GGCAAACGGGUGAGUAUAAUGUGGGAAUCUGCCUUUUGGUUUGGAAUAACACGGGGAAACUUGUGCUAAUACCGAAUAAGCCCUUACGGGGAAAGUUUUAACGCCGAAAGAUGAGCCUGCACUUGAUUAGCUAGUUGGUAAGGUAAAGGCUUACCAGGGCAACGAUCAAUAGCUGUUCUUAGAGGAAGACCAGCCACAUUGGGACUGAGACACGGCCAAGACUCCUACGGGAGGCAGCAGUGGGGAAUCUUGCACAAUGGGGGAAACCCUGAUGCAGCGAUGCCGCGUGAGUGAAGAAGGCCUUUGGGUUGUAAAACUCUUUCGUCGGGGAAGAAAAUGACUGUACCCGAAUAAGAAGGUCCGGCUAACUUCGUGCCAGCAGCCGCGGUAAUACGAAGGGACCUAGCGUAGUUCGGAAUUACUGGGCUUAAAGAGCUCGUAGGUGGUUAAAAAAGUUGAUGGUGAAAUCCCAAGGCUCAACCUUGGAACUGCCAUCAAAACUUUUUAGCUAGAGUGUGAUAGAGGUAAGUGGAAUUUCUAGUGUAGAGGUGAAAUUCGUAGAUAUUAGAAAGAACACCAAAUGCGAAGGCAACUUACUGGGUCACUACUGACACUGAGGAGCUAAAGCAUGGGUAGCGAAGAGGAUUAGAUACCCUCGUAGUCCAUGCCGUAAACGAUGUGUGCUAGACGUUGGGAAUAUAUUUUUCAGUGUCGCAGCGAAAGCAUUAAGCACAC